rnacentral:rRNA from 1 species
AUUGAACGCUGGCGGCAGGCCUAACACAUGCAAGUCGAACGAGUGGCGGACGGGUGAGUAAUGUCUGGGAAACUGCCUGAUGGAUGGGGAUAACUACUGGAAACGGUAGCUAAUACCGCAUAACAUCAGAUGUGCCCAGAUGGGAUUAGCUAGUGGGUGGGGUAACGGCUCACCAAGGCGACGAUCCCUAGCUGGUCUGAGAGGAUGACCAGCCACACUGGAACUGAGAAACGGUCCGGACUCCGACGGGAGGCAGAAGAGGGGAAUAUUGGACAAUGGGCGCAAGCCUGAUGCAGCCAGGCGGCGUGUAUGAAGAAGGCCUUCGGGUUGUAAAGUACUUUCAGCGGGGAGGCGUUACCCGAAGAAGAAGCACCGGCUAACUCCGUGCCAGCAACCGCGGUAAUUC